UGGGGAAUAUUGGACAAUGGGCGAAAGCCUGAUCCAGCCAUGCCGCGUGUGUGAAGAAGGUCUUCGGAUUGUAAAGCACUUUAAGUUGGGAGGAAGGGCCAUUACCUAAUACGUGAUGGUUUUGACGUUACCGACAGAAUAAGCACCGGCUAACUCUGUGCCAGCAGCCGCGGUAAUACAGAGGGUGCAAGCGUUAAUCGGAAUUACUGGGCGUAAAGCGCGCGUAGGUGGUUUGUUAAGUUGGAUGUGAAAUCCCCGGGCUCAACCUGGGAACUGCAUUCAAAACUGACAAGCUAGAGUAUGGUAGAGGGUGGUGGAAUUUCCUGUGUAGCGGUGAAAUGCGUAGAUAUAGGAAGGAACACCAGUGGCGAAGGCGACCACCUGGACUGAUACUGACACUGAGGUGCGAAAGCGUGGGGAGCAAACAGGAUUAGAUACCCCCGUAGUCCCUGAGCGGGCUGGCAAGGCGCAU
rnacentral:rRNA from 1 species